rnacentral:lncRNA from 1 species
GCGUUUUUGAGUGACUGGGCGACGCUGGAUCCUCUCAACGGCUGCCAUCGAACAGCAGAAGAUAAGUUUGAAACUGUCGCUGGCGUCACCAUGGCCCGGCACACACCAAGCCAACAGCCGGCUGUUGAGCAACGUCUGCCCGUCGGUCAGGCAGAGUCUGUGUAUGUGGACACUCACUAUUUGACCCUUUCUUCAGUUUCUCUUGUCUGUCCUCCACAAGCAGAGACUCACUGAUAGACAGCUGUUACCCAUUCUAGGCCUAACACAUCCAAACACGACCACACCGCAAGUGUAUCCUUUACAGAUCAAGGAGGAGUUCAGACGCAUCACAAUGGUUUCCUUGGAGGAGACAUUCCUGCGGAAGCUUGAUGAGUACACACCUGGUCUUUUGCGGCUAAUGCGUGCCAAAGGAGGAGCAGCUGGUUGCAAGAUGCGUCCUCUGCUGGACAGUUUAAAUACACAGAACAUUGAGGAAAAAAGAGAUGCUGUUGUCUGCUGCCUCAUUAACUACCUCGGUGAAAGACAAGAAGAUCUUUUCCAUGAAUGGCAGGAAUGUGAGGAGUACACAGACAAAACAAUGAAGGUGAUUGUGAAGCACAAUGUCAUGGCUGAGGAGGACGAUUUGUCUAUUGUGAUCGAGGGAAACCAAGUGAUGGAAGGAUGUGGAAGCCGAACAAAGGCAUGCAUACUGCUGAUGGGACUCAUAUAUGCAAUCAACAUUGAAUAUCCAAAGGAGCUGAAGAACACAUUUGA